UCAUGCAGGAGACUCAAUUUGGCUUCGCUAACGGACACAGUUUUGAACUCGUAUAUUAGCGCCAUUUAUAGUUGCUUGGACCACAGCAUCUUCGGAAUUUGUAGACAUCCUGGCAGCUUACAAUUAGUUCGAGGUGAGGGUGCUGACCCAAAUCUGUGUGGACCAGAACGUACCAAAGAGAACUACAACUCUGCUGUUGAUCGCCUCCAGAUUGACAAUACACCAGACGUCGAAGGAGUGAAGUUCAGACAUCUCGGAAAUGGGGGACAGCAUAAGGAGUUCCAUUACUAAGGUGCUGCCGGACCUGUCUGCCUCAAUCCUUGAAAUUGUACUGGAGGCACUACAAUCAUUAGGAGUGGAGACAUCUGAGGACUUGCAGUUCAUUAGUGAGGCUGAUCUGAACUCUGUCCUGAGACCAGUUCAGGCAAGAAAACUGCUGGCUGCCUGGAAACAAACCACACCAAAUAUGGAAAUUUCAAGCCAGGCCAGCAUGUCGUCUCCAUCUUCUUGCUCCUCAUUUUCUGCCUCCCCCUCACCCAGUCCAAUAUAUUCUCUAGACUGGGUAGAUAACUUUAGAAUUCCAAGUGAAGAUUUUCCAGAAGACUUGAUUCAGUGUCUUCAGAGAGAGAAAAGACCAAAGCCUCGAUUGCGGAGGGAGAUGAUCCGCAUCAUUGUGAAGGAGAUGAUGAAAGCCUGUGCCUCUCCAAGUAGAAGAGCCUCGACUGAAAUUGCAAAAAAACUGGUUGCAAUGUAUCCCAAGUCACUGCAGGAUGUCAUAGAGGGGGAUGUGGUAGGACAGGGGUACCACUCUUUGGUAAAACAGAUUCAGGCACGAGUUGAAAAUGUGAAGAGGUCUACUUCACCAGUGUUAAAGAAGC